rnacentral:misc_RNA from 1 species
CGCUCGAUUUGGGGAUGAGAAACUCUCCCCUAUGUCGCCACUUAUGCCUAUGCCGAUUCCGCCUCCAUCGGGUUUAUCAUCAUCUCCGACUUCCUCUUCAAGGAAAGGAGGCUGCGUCCGAUCAAAUUUUGGAAACAAACCACCAGUGAGGAUUGAGGGAUUUGAUUGCCUCGACAGGGAUCGCAGGAAUUGCAGCAUCCCUGCUUUGGCAUAGAGAAAACCCAAUUUCAAUUAUACAAAAGGUACAUAGUUUUUUUUUUUUAAAAAAAAAGGAGCUAAACAAACAAUCGGUCAAACAUCUUUGAUAGUGCGAGAGGAAUUUUGAACUUAUCAUGAGAGGGAAAGGUGAGGGCAGGGCAUCUUUUGCUAGUGUAAAUAACUAAAUAUGUUUUAAGGGUUCUUUUGUAUGUACUGAUGUGUCUUUGUAAGUCAAAUAGUGUCUGUUAACAAAAAUAAUGGAGGGUUAUUGGAAUUUUGUGAUCUUCCUGAUCGGUAGGAGAUGGGAUUGGGUUGAAUUGAGAAAACUCUUUGUUUCGCUCAAUCCUGUGUGUUAUUAUAGAAAGUAAUGCUGAGUCUCAGGUGAGAAUGUGAAAAUUUUUCUUUUUUUAUCUUUUUAAGUCCUGGAGUUCCAAUGAGCGGCUUAUGAAGGGAAAUCUGUACAAAAAUUGAAGUCGGCGUCGAGUCUUUGAUGUAGUCAUUUACAAUGUAAAUAUUACCCUUUGUUUUUUAGAAAUGGAAUGAUUCUGUUUCGUUUUUUUAUCGGCAUGAUCUUGCUUUUUUCAUCUAACCUGCAAAAGUAAAAAUGUUCGUGUGAUAAUGCUUUUGAUAUUCGCUUGUGAAUCACGCCAAUGGGCAAAAAGAAAUGGGCCCUGGUGAAACGGAAUGGGUUAUCAAUGAUUCCUUGUCUGUAUCCUAUCUCUAUGAUGAAGAGCAGGAUCUUUGCUUUGUAAAACCGCAUCUUUGGUAUGAAAAAAGAUGUAAAGCAGCGAGCAAUAAACAUGAUAUCUCCUGUUUCUGUACGUGAAAGAUUUCUUUGCGCUUUUAAGCAAUUCCUCUUCUCUGAUUAUGUUUUGGCAAUGGCAUCAGAGGCAACGACCGAGGCCACUGCAAAAGUUUUGGCUUUGGGCAGGGCUUUCUGGUGGAGUUACAUUAUUAAGACGGACCUUACUGCAAUCAAUAUCAGGUUCAGAUUGUUGGGAAAAUGUCCAAAUCGUUUGGUCCAAUCUAAUGAAUGAAAUCAUUUGAACUAUCGUUUAAUCUUAAUGACAUAAGCUGUGAUUUAAUAUCAAUCAAAUGAUAACAGGAUGGCGAUGGUGCUCUCUUUUUUUCUUUGUUGGGAUGGUAAUUCAGUUUCCAAUGUCCAUGAAUUAAAAUCUCAAACGCA